rnacentral:tRNA from 1 species
UAGCUCAGUGGUAGAGCACUUGCCUAACAUGCAUGAGGCCCUGGGUUUAAUCUCCAG